GACGAACCGUGCGAACGUUAUUCGGAAUCACUGGGCUUAAAGCGCGUGUAGGCGGGUCGGCGCGUCGGCCGCUGAAAUCCCCCGGCUCAACCGGGGAAGCGGCGCCGAUACGGCCGGCCUGGAGGGACGUAGGGGGGCUGGAACUUCCGGUGGAGCGGUGAAAUGCGUUGAGAUCGGAAGGAACGCCCGUGGCGAAAGCGAGCCCCUGGACGUCUACUGACGCUGAGACGCGAAAGCCAGGGGAGCGAACGGG
rnacentral:rRNA from 1 species